CACGGACUCCUGAAAACUACUCCAAGCACAAAAAGCAAGUACAACGGGACAAGCUCCAUACUAUCAAGGACACAGACUUACAACUUUGCGGGAUCUUUAAGCAGAGACAAGAACUUCCCUCUGGGCAGAGAUUCCGAGUACACUCCCCAUCAGGAUUGUAAUAUUUAUGUUAUGGACUGAAGACUCUUACCGAUGUACUGUCAUUCCACAUACAGCCGCCAUCUUUCAAAUAAAUAUGGAU